AUGUCAGCUUUUCCCCUUCGAUAACAGCUAGCAUAUUAGCCUUCUCAAUCAGUGCAUAGUUAGCUUGUUAGUUAGCGCUUCCUCUUUGAGCAUAUGUUAGCUUUUUCACUUAGUUCAUGGUUGGUAUGUUAGCUUUUUUACUGAGAUCAUAGUUAGCACAUUAGCUUUUUCAAUCAGAGUAUAGUUAGCAUUUUAGCAUUGAUUAUACACAAUAGCUUUUCCCAGCGUGUUAAAUUUAUCUUUUUAUUUUGAGUUUGUAAUAGUUGACAUUGUGGCAGUCAGAGUUGCUAUGAUAUACACCAACUGUUAGCGGCAACUAGUUUAAAUGUUCUGGUGAAAAGUAUGAUGUGCUUGACCUUUGUAUGACCCUGCAUGCGCUCUCGUCUAAAGUGCGAAUGAUGUCUUAUUAAAAUGCAGCACAAGAGAGACGCGCUAAGUCCUCGGACUUUAGCGACUUACUUUGGGAGCGCUGGCGGGGCUCCAUGGAAAGAAUGAUGGGAAUGAUGUCUUCCUUGACAGUGGAGGACAUUAAGAUAUCAAGCGGCUGUGAUUAAGGAGAUUCUGCAAGGAAGAAGGGAUUUGCUGGAUUAGCGGUGCAACGUAAACAGCACCCGACUGCUGCGGUCCCGCCUUGCAGCCAACGUGAACAAAACAGGAAGUGCUGAGGAGCAACAUGAAGUCAAAAGGAAGUACCUUGACGUCAGCUGAAGACGACAGGAAGUGCUUAGGAAUGAUGAAAAACCAGUCCAGCGCUGGCCUUCCUCUUCCACAGCAAUUCUACUCAGACCUGGGCAACCAAUUUUUAAAAUUCUCACAAAAUAAAGCUGAAAAUGAUUGUAAUGGCUACCACCAGCCAGCAGGAGGAGCCAGUGACUGGUACUGCUCAAUGUCGGGUACCAAGUGUGGAAAGAAGACAAGUUGAGAGUAUUCUCGCCAAGAUGGAGUCAAGAAUGGACGCUAAUUCAUUUGUGACUGGGUGAUGACAGCCCUGCAAGUUUGCGGACUUUUGGUCGAAAAUUUUUUUUUUCCUUCUAAAAAUACGCCUAAGUCUGUUAUCAUUUAGAAAUAUGUGAAAAUACAGGUUUAAAACACAUUUUAAAAAAGGAAUACACAGCUGUAAUUUAAUGAGAAUAAUGUCAAAAUACAUUCUAAACAAAACAAAAGCAGAAAAAAUUGGAAUAUCUAUAGUCAUUUUAAAUAACACCCUCACUACUUGUUUGGGUCUUCCAGGUCUGUCUAGCAUCUAGGUCAGACCUCAACAUUCUUGUAAAAUGUAACAGUAUUUAUUUAUUUUCUCAUAACAUAACAUAUUUUUGCAAAAAUUACAACUUUAUUGUGUUUUGUAUGUUUCUCAUGAUAUUAUGACUUUAAAAAAACAUAUUUUUUCUUUUAUGUUUCAACAUUGUGGUUCUCAA